UUUUUGCUGCUCAGCCUGCCCAGCUGUCUUCCAAGGAGAACGCUCUGGUGUGGAUUGCUGUGAAUGAGGAUGGCGUCAGCAUCCUGGACCACAACACUAUGUGACAACGUUUGGUGGCUGCAGGGAUGACUUCAUGCUUGUGAUUAGAUCUAUCCCAGACAAGAGCUCUGGAAAAAGCCACAUUGAGAAGUUGAUCUUCCGGAUGGCUGCUCCCAAGAUUGCAGAAGCUACCUUCAUCAUGGCCAGCUAUAUGAACCAUUGCACUACAACUGUGAACCCCCCCACCAACCCACCCGGAGCCUGCCAGCUGUGGGAACUGGAUGGACGACAGUUCUUUUCUUCUGUUUCCUGUGCUACCAAGGGGCCAACGUUGCUGUGAAUAUUUCUCCUACCCGAUUCCCCAACACCACUAGUGCCUCUGGAUUUAGAGAUAUAUAUCCUAGGGUAUGAUACUACUGUGACGGGUCUAACAGCCCCCGGCUACUCUUGUUCUGUGAAAUGUGUAUUUUA
rnacentral:lncRNA from 1 species